GUCAGGAGUUAGGAAAUGUAAGUGCGCUAAUAUCGCAUUUAUUUGACGAAGGCUCCAGAGGAAGUCACGGCUAACUCUGUGCCAGCAGCCGCGGUAAUACAGAGGUGGCAAGCGUUGUUCGGAAUUAUUGGGCGUAAAGAGCACGUAGGUGGGUUUGUAAGUCAGAUGUGAAAGCCUUCUGUUCAACGGAAGAAUCGCACCUGAAACUACGAAUCUUGAGUGUAGGAGGGGAGAGUGGAACUUCUGGU
rnacentral:rRNA from 1 species